GACGAACGCUGGCGGCGUGCCUAACACAUGCAAGUCGAACGGGACUUAGUGGAAAGCGGCUUCGGCCAAUGGAAGCUAAGUUUAGUGGCGAACGGGUGAGUAACGCGUGAGGAACCUGCCUUUCAGUGGGGGACAACAGUUGGAAACGACUGCUAAUACCGCAUAACAUAUCGGGACCGCAUGAUCCUGAUAUCAAAGCUUUAUGUGCUGAAAGAUGGCCUCGCGUCUGAUUAGCUAGUUGGUGAGGUAACGGCUCACCAAGGCGACGAUCAGUAGCCGGUCUGAGAGGAUGAUCGGCCACACUGGAACUGAGACACGGUCCAG
rnacentral:rRNA from 1 species